CACGUAGGCACCAAGCGUUGUCCGGAUUUAUUGGGCGUAAAGAGCUCGUAGGCGGUUGAGUAAGUCGGGUGUGAAAACUCUGGGCUUAACCCAGAGCCGCCACUCGAUACUGCUCUGACUUGAGUUCGGUAGGGGAGCAGGGAAUUCCUAGUGUAGCGGUGAAAUGCGCAGAUAUUAGGAAGAACACCCGUGGCGAAGGCGGCUCUCUGGGACGGUACUGACGCUGAUGCGCGAAAGCCAGGGGAGCGAACGGG
rnacentral:rRNA from 1 species